rnacentral:rRNA from 1 species
GACGAACGCUGGCGGCGUGCUUAACACAUGCAAGUCGAACGGAAAGGCCCUGCUUUUGUGGGGUGCUCGAGUGGCGAACGGGUGAGUAACACGUGAGUAACCUGCCCUUGACUUUGGGAUAACUUCAGGUAACUGGGGCUAAUAUCGGAUAGGAGCUCCUGCUGCAUGGUGGGGGUUGGAAAGUUUCGGCGGUUGGGGAUGGACUCGCGGCUUAUCAGCUUGUUGGUGGGGUAGUGGCUUACCAAGGCUUUGACGGGUAGCCGGCCUGAGAGGGUGACCGGCCACAUUGGGACUGAGAUACGGCGCAGACUCCUACGGGAGGCAGCAGUGGGGAAUAUUGCACAAUGGGCGGAAGCCUGAUGCAGCAACGCCGCGUGCGGGAUGACGGCCUUCGGGUUGUAAACCGCUUUCGCCUGUGACGAAGCGUGAGUGACGGUAAUGGGUAAAGAAGCACCGGCUAACUACGUG